rnacentral:rRNA from 1 species
UACAGAGGUCCCAAGCGUUGUUCGGAUUCACUGGGCGUAAAGGGUGCGUAGGUGGCCAGGUAAGUUUGGUGUGAAAUCUCCGGGCUCAACCCGGAAAUGGCAUCGAAUACUCUCUGGCUUGAGGUUUGUAGGGGGGACUGGAAUUCUCGGUGUAGCAGUGAAAUGCGUAGAUAUCGAGAGGAACACCAGUGGCGAAGGCGAGUCCUUGGACAAUACCUGACACUGAGGCACGAAAGCCAGGGGAGCAAACGGGG